ACCUCCCACAAAGGCGUGUCUUUACUUCCCGUGUAUAGACACGUAAGAACUGGAGGCAGAGCAUAAGGACUAAGACCUCACUGUGAGAGCACAGCUGCUGUGUGGAGGCUGUGCAAUGGUCUUUAGUCCUACACUU